rnacentral:rRNA from 1 species
AUACGUAGGGUGCGAGCGUUAAUGGGAAUUACUGGGCGUAAAGAGUACGUAGGCGGCCUACUAAGUCAGAUGUGAAAGCCCAGGGCUCAACCUUGGAACUGCAUUUGAAACUGGUAGGCUAGAGUAUGGUAGAGGGGGGUAGAAUUUCUGGUGUAGCGGUGAAAUGCGUAGAUAUCAGAAGGAAUACCAGUGGCGAAGGCGGCCCCCUGGCCCAAUACUGACGCUGAGGUACGAAAGCGUGGGUAGCGAACGGGAUUAGAAACCCGGGUAGUCC